rnacentral:rRNA from 1 species
GACGAACGCUGGCGGCGUGCUUAACACAUGCAAGUCGAACGAAGUGGCGAACGGGUGAGUAACGCGUAAUCAACCUGCCCUUCAGAGGGGGACAACAGUUGGAAACGACUGCUAAUACCGCAUACUGAAGGAGGGGAUUGCGUCUGAUUAGCUAGUUGGAGGGGUAACGGCCCACCAAGGCGAUGAUCAGUAGCCGGUCUGAGAGGAUGAUCGGCAACAUGGGGACUGAUACACGGCCCAGACUCCUACGGGAGGCAGCAGUAGGGAAUCUUCCGUAAGGGACGAAAGUUUGAUGGAGCAACGCCGCGUGAGUUAUGACGGCCGUCGUGGUGUACAGCUCUGUUAAUCGGGACGCGGGACCGAACUAGAAAGCCACAGCUAGCUACGUGCCAGCAGCCGCGGUAAUAC